GGCCUAGUAGCGUAAUGGUAGCGCGUUCGACUCCAGCUGUUCAAGGUUGUCAUCGAAAGGUUAUCUGUUCAAGUCAGGUCUGGGUCA